UUAAAUUGAAGAGUUUGAUCAUGGCUCAGAUUGAACGCUGGCGGCAGGCUUAACACAUGCAAGUCGAACGGUAACAUGAGUGCUUGCACUUGAUGACGAGUGGCGGACGGGUGAGUAAAGUAUGGGGAUCUGCCGAAUGGAGGGGGACAACAGUUGGAAACGACUGCUAAUACCGCAUAAAGUUGAGAGACCAAAGCAUGGGACCUUUGGGCCAUGCGCCAUUUGAUGAACCCAUAUGGGAUUAGCUAGUAGGUGGGGUAAA
rnacentral:rRNA from 1 species